UGCCCAGGGGACGUGGAUAACCUCGGGAAACUGAGGAUAAACCGCGAUAAGUCAUUACUUCUGGAAUGGGUAAUGACUGAAAUCUACAUGGCCCCUGGAUUGGACUGCGGCCGAUCAGGCUGUUGGUGAGGUAAUGGCCCACCAAACCUAUAACCGGUACGGGCUCUGAGAGGAGGAGCCCGGAGAUGGGCACUGAGACAAGGGCCCAGGCCCUAUGGGGCGCAGCAGGCGCGAAACCUCUGCAAUAGGCGAAAGCCUGACAGGGUUACUCUGAGUGAUUUCCGUUAAGGAGAUCUUUUGGCACCUCUAAAAAUGGUGCAGAAUAAGGGGUGGGCAAGUCUGGUGUCAGCCGCCGCGGUAAUACCAGCACCCCGAGUGGUCGGGACGUUUAUUGGGCCUAAAGCAUCCGUAGCCGGUUCUACAAGUCUUCCGUUAAAUCCACCUGCUUAACAGAUGGGCUGCGGAAGAUACUAUAGAGCUAGGAGGCGGGAGAGGCAAGCGGGUACUCGAUGGGUAGGGGUAAAAUCCGUUGAUCCAUUGAA
rnacentral:rRNA from 1 species